rnacentral:lncRNA from 1 species
GGAAUUAUAAUGAGGCUCCCGGAGGAAGCUGCUGCCAGAGUAGAAGCUGGAGAAGAAUUCUCGGCAUCAGAGGGCCGACAGGGUCCCUGGCACGGUGGCUGCCACUGAGUGUGACCCGUCAUGGAGAGUACUUCAUCUUCAUUUUAAUUAAGCUUCGGGGGUGAGACAGGCAGCCUCCGGAUUCAAGGGAGCUGACUGCCCGUAUCCUGAAAGAGGCUCUGCUUUAGGAAGCCUCGGAUUUUGUGGAUGGAGAGAAGGCAAAAAGACAAACACGCCAUUUUGCUGAUGCUGAUAGAGGCACACAUUGGCCACUCAAUAAGCAGGUG